rnacentral:rRNA from 1 species
GUGCCAGCAGCCGCGGUAAUACGUAGGGCCCGAGCGUUAUUCGGUAUUAUUGGGCGUAAAGAGUACGUAGGCGGUACGAUAAGACAAUGGUUAAAUCUCCGGGCUCAACCCGGAAAUCGCCGUUGUGACUGUUGUACUAGUCGGUAGCAGGGGCAAGCGGAAUUCUCGGUGUAGGAGUGAAAUCCGUUGAGAUCGAGAAGAACACCAAUGGCGAAGGCAGCUUGCUAGGCUAUUUGAGACGCUGAGGUACGAAAGCGUGGGGAGCGAACGGGAUUAGAUACCCCAGUAGUCC